UGAGCAAUCUGCCCUUCACAUCGGAAUAACCAUUGGAAACGAUGGCUGAUACCGAAUAUGACUUCGGAUCGCAUGAUCUGAAGUGGAAAGCUCCGGCGGUGAAGGAUGAGCUCGCGGCCUAUCAGCUAGUUGGUGUGGGUAAUGGCCCACCAAGGCGACGACGGGUAGCCGGCCUGAGAGGGUGACCGGCCACACUGGGACUGAGACACGGCCCAGACCUCCGG
rnacentral:rRNA from 1 species